AGAGUUUGAUCCUGGCUCAGGAUGAACGCUGGCGGUAUGCUUAACACAUGCAAGUCGAACGAAUGUUUUCGGACAUUAGUGGCGGACGGGUGAGUAACGCGUGAGAAUCUGCCUAUAGGUUGGGGACAACAGAUGGAAACGUCUGCUAAUACCCAAUGUGCCGAGAGGUAAAAGCUUUAGUGCCUGUAGAUGAGCUCGCGUCCGAUUAGCUAGUUGGUUAGGUAAAAGCUGACCAAGGCGACGAUCGGUAGCUGGUCUGAGAGGAUGAUCAGCCACACUGGGACUGAGACACGGCCCAGACUCCUACGGGAGGCAGCAGUGGGGAAUUUUCCGCAAUGGGCGAAAGCCUGACGGAGCAAUACCGCGUGCGGGACGAAGGCUUUUGGGUCGUAAACCGCUUUUGUUAGGGAAGAAGAACUGACGGUACCUAACGAAUCAGCAUCGGCUAACUCCGUGCCAGCAGCCGCGGUAAUACGGAGGAUGCAAGCGUUAUCCGGAAUUAUUGGGCGUAAAGCGUCCGCAGGUGGUUUAUCAAGUCUGCUGUUAAAUCGUGGGGCUUAACCCUAUAUAGGCAGUGGAAACUGAGAGACUAGAGUACGGUAGGGGUAGCGGGAAUUCCCAGUGUAGCGGUGAAAUGCGUAGAUAUUGGGAAGAACACCAGCGGCGAAGGCGCGCUACUGGGCCGAAACUGACACUCAUGGACGAAAGCUAGGGGAGCGAAAGGGAUUAGAUACCCCUGUAGUCCUAG
rnacentral:rRNA from 1 species